UGGGGAAUAUUGCACAAUGGGCGCAAGCCUGAUGCAGCCAUGCCGCGUGUAUGAAGAAGGCCUUCGGGUUGUAAAGUACUUUCAGCGGGGAGGAAGGCGAUAAGGUUAAUAACCUUGUCGAUUGACGUUACCCGCAGAAGAAGCACCGGCUAACUCCGUGCCAGCAGCCGCGGUAAUACGGAGGGUGCAAGCGUUAAUCGGAAUUACUGGGCGUAAAGCGCACGCAGGCGGUCUGUCAAGUCGGAUGUGAAAUCCCCGGGCUCAACCUGGGAACUGCAUUCGAAACUGGCAGGCUAGAGUCUUGUAGAGGGGGGUAGAAUUCCAGGUGUAGCGGUGAAAUGCGUAGAGAUCUGGAGGAAUACCGGUGGAGAAGGCGGCCCCCUGGACAAAGACUGACGCUCAGGUGCGAAAGCGUGGGGAGCAAACA
rnacentral:rRNA from 1 species